rnacentral:rRNA from 1 species
CAGGACGAACGCUGGCGGCGUGCCUAAUACAUGCAAGUCGAACGGUCUUUCUAUGGAAGCUUGCUUCCACUGGGAAGAUAGUGGCGAACGGGUGAGUAACACGUGGGUAACCUGCCCAUAAGAGGGGGGAUAACAUCCGGAAACGGGUGCUAAUACCGCAUAGUCUUCUUGAUCGCAUGAUUGAGAAAGGAAAGACGGCCUUUGUGCUGUCGCUUAUGGAUGGACCCGCGGCGUAUUAGUUAGUUGGUGAGGUAACGGCUCACCAAGACGAUGAUACGUAGCCGACCUGAGAGGGCGAUCGGCCACAUUGGGACUGAGACACGGCCCAAACUCCUACGGGAGGCAGCAGUAGGGAAUCUUCCGCAAUGGACGAAAGUCUGACGGAGCAACGCCGCGUGAGUGAAAGAAGGUUUUCGGAUCGUAAAACUCUGUUGUCAGAGAAGAACAAGUUGGAGAGUAACUGCUCCAGCCUUGACGGUAUCUGACCAGAAAGCCACGGCUAACUACGUGCCAGCCGCCGC